UGUGUGACACAUGUGCUCAUGGAUUAUUGUCCGAAGCAAGACAUGUGACCAAGCCUAACAUCAACUGGGUGAAGAGCUAUAUGUUCCUUUCUCAAGAGGCACUACAAGUGACAUGCCACUGGGCAGUUUAGCAAAAGCUGGAGGUGCCUUGACAUUUGCAGUACACUGAAACAGUGGCUGGCUUGAAAAAUCCCAAAACGAUUUUCUGCAGGAGAGCCCUUUUGACUAAUAUGAGGGCAGUGAAAAGACUCCAUUUAUGAAACAGGAAAUGAGCCCUCAUCAGACACUGAAUCUGCCGGCACAUUGAUCUUCGACUUCUGCCUUCAGAACCAUGAAAGGGUGAGGCAAUGAAAAGCCAAUCUGUAAUUGUCUGCUCUUUCUUACCCUGCUGCUAACUACUGA
rnacentral:lncRNA from 10 species